UUAAUUGAAGAGUUUGAUCAUGGCUCAGAUUGAACGCUGGCGGCAGGCCUAACACAUGCAAGUCGAGCGGAAACGAAGAGGUGCUUGCACCUCUGGCGUCGAGCGGCGGACGGGUGAGUAAUGCUUGGGAACAUGCCUUGAGGUGGGGGACAACCGUUGGAAACGACGGCUAAUACCGCAUAAUGUCUACGGACCAAAGGGGGCUUCGGCUCUCGCCUUU
rnacentral:rRNA from 1 species